rnacentral:rRNA from 1 species
GAACAGACGAGGAGCUUGCUCUUCUGACGUUAGCGGCGGACGGGUGAGUAACACGUGGGUAACCUACCUAUAAGACUGGGAUAACUCCGGGAAACCGGGGCUAAUACCGGAUAACACAUGAAACCGCAUGGUUUCAUGAUGAAAGACGGUUUUGCUGUCACUUAUAGAUGGACCCGCGGCGUAUUAGCUAGUUGGUAAGGUAACGGCUUACCAAGGCAACGAUACGUAGCCGACCUGAGAGGGUGAUCGGCCACACUGGAACUGAGACACGGUCCAGACUCCUACGGGAGGCAGCAGUAGGGAAUCUUCCGCAAUGGGCGAAAGCCUGACGGAGCAACGCCGCGUGAGUGAUGAAGGUCUUCGGAUCGUAAAACUCUGUUAUUAGGGAAGAACAAGGAUGUAAGUAACUGUGCAUCCCUUGACGGUACCUAAUCAGAAAGCCACGGCUAACUACGUGCCAGCAGCCGCGGUAAUACGUAGGUGGCAAGCGUUAUCCGGAAUUAUUGGGCGUAAAGCGCGCGUAGGCGGUUUUUUAAGUCUGAUGUGAAAGCCCACGGCUCAACCGUGGAGGGUCAUUGGAAACUGGAAAACUUGAGUGCAGAAGAGGAAAGUGGAAUUCCAUGUGUAGCGGUGAAAUGCGCAGAGAUAUGGAGGAACACCAGUGGCGAAGGCGACUUUCUGGUCUGUAACUGACGCUGAUGUGCGAAAGCGUGGGGAUCAAACA